GCAAACUUGGUCAUUUAGAGGAAGUAAAAGUCGUAACAAGGUUUCCGUAGGUGAACCUGCGGAAGGAUCAUUACCGAAUUUGAUUAUCUUCUUUCUGUGAAUUUAAUAAUGACUUGCUUCGGCGGGUGUUAUGGUUGAUUGAUGACUUCUUUUUGAGUUGUCUCUUUUCUCCUUACCCGCCGAAAGGUUAAACUCAACAAAUUAUUUUUUGUCUAAACAAAUAAAACUAAUAGAUCAAAACUUUCAGCAACGGAUCUCUUGGUUCUCGCAUCGAUGAAGAACGCAGC
rnacentral:misc_RNA from 1 species